rnacentral:tRNA from 1 species
GGACAGCUGACCGAGUGGUUUAAGGUGCUUGAUUCGAAAUCAAGAGAACAUUUAGUUUCCGGGGGUUCGAAUCCCUCGCUGUCCG